rnacentral:lncRNA from 1 species
AUUUUAACCUUGUAAUAUGACUAAUUUGAAUGGUGUGAAAUUAUUUUAUCAUGUAAUGUCAUUUUCACCUAAACAGUACAAUUAAGAUAUUUAAAACUAAAGAUCCAAUCAUUUUACAAAUUCCUAAAAAUAAGUGAUAGAUUUUGUAUACACUAGUACAUCCUCCACAUAAAAAGUAGUUUUGUGUAUUUGAAUGCUCAAAAUUUCUUCAAGAUGGGAUUAAAAAUUUUUUUUCCUAGUUCUCUGUUAUCUCAUUUUUAAUCCCUUCUCCCUAUGUUCUGCCUAGUUACCGUUUUCUAUCCAAAUUCUGAGUGUUUCCUAGGUCUUGGGCCUUAUCUAUUUCUUUUCUUUAUGCAGUCUGCUUCGGAGCACAUCUGUGAGCUUAGAAUUAUGUACAAUUAAAUGUAUACCAAAACCAUUCACACUCCCCUUUCCUCUCAUUGCAUGCCUUAGUAUCUUAAAGGAAAAUAAAAAUGCCUCAGUUUAAAAUAUAUGAGUUAAAAUCCCUUGAGCUGCAGGAUAUGUGCAAUAAUGUCUUUCACCAAAAUCAAGCUGUGGAUUAUUUCCUCACACUCAGAGCCUAAAUGUUCAUUGGAGAUUUACCAUUGCACUUAAGUGCCAGAGGAAAUGACAAGGUGACCAUUGGAAUUGUUGUCCAAACAGAAACCAUUGAUAUUUAAGAGAAGAUUCAUAAAUCUGAAGUUAUGGUUUUCUAUGCCAGACAAAUCAGGGAACAUUACACUUAGGCUACUGGAGUCAAGGUCAUUUACGAUUUGUCACCCACUUCAAAAAUUAAUUUUAUUUUUUAAGAUUACAAUAUGAUUACAUCAUUUCGCCCUUCGAUUUUCUCCCUCUAUUGCCUCUAAUAUAGUCCCCUUUACCCUGUUUCAAAUUCAUAUAUAUGUAUAUAUAUAUAUGUAUGCACAUAUGUAUACAUAUAUAUAUAUAUACAUAUAUACAUAUAUAUGUAUGUGUGUAUAUAUGUAUGUGUGUAUAUAUGUAUGUGUGUAUAUAUGUAUACAUAUACACACACACACAUAUCUUCUGUUACUUGUAUGUAUGUUUUCAGAACUGACCAUUUGGCACUAGAUGAACUGUCAGAGUGCUCCUCCCUGGGGAGGACUGUUUCCUCCGCUCUCAGGCUUCCUUAGUUGCCUGUGGUUCUUUGUAUAGGACUAAGGCAUUGUGGGUUUCCUUGUUCCCUUUGGCAAGUCUCUUGUUUCUCUCUUUGUUUACCUCCUAUUUAAGCAGUCAUGUUGGUGAGGCGUUAUGAGUGCAGCUUGGGACAUUCCUGGAGACAUGAACUCUGUCACUUGUUUUUUAAAAAGUCCUUUCCUAAAUAUGCACCCAGCAGCUCUAGGGAUGACUCAUUGGUGAAAUCCAUAUCAUAAUCUAACCAUUUUUGUCACUCUAAUGGCAAUAAUGGUGAGUUUGUCUAUUUUAAUUAUGUACAUUUUGCAUUUUUUUUACAUUUAUUUAUUUUGUAUAUGAGGGUUGAGCAAGCAUUUUCCACAACACAGAUGUAAAAAUUGGAGGACAAUUUUCAGAAGUCUAUUUUUUACCUUCCACUGUGAUUAUUGACCUCACGUCAGGCCAGGCUUUAAUACAUACCAAGUCCUCUGGGCCAUCCCAAUAGCCCUAUUUUACUAAUUUUUUUAAAGGCUUAGCAAAUUUCAACUACAAGAAAAUAUUUUCUUUAUAUUUCUUAUAUUUUCUUUACAUUUCUGUUAUUGUUGUUAUUACAGUUUUUAAUAUAGCCCUCUGUGGUGUGUGACUCUUCCUGGAGAGAAAGGGAGAAAUGACUAGUCACCUCAGUUAGGCAACUGAUUAGUCUAAGGAAGUCACCCAAGUCCAACAUAGGAAGAGCCCUAGUAAAUCUGGUCUGUUUCAGGUACUUCCUGAAGCGAUUAAGAUGUUUACUUCCUGAGUUUAAAGAGUUUCCUUACAGCAUGUGUUUCAGGAUGUCACCUGUUUUGACAUCUUGUAUCUUAAGGAUCUUCCUUCAAGAUGGAAGUGUGUAUUUCAGAGGGAAUUAGCACACUCAUCCAGAUUGGACUCUGAAUCCCUGAAGAGGCUGCAGGCUACUGAGCUUCUGCUUAUUUCUGCCACGCUGACCACUACACACGAUGCCGUGAAACAAACCUAAGGCUUUAGGCAUGUUCAGCAAACACUUACCAAAUGUGCUAUAUCUCCAGCCCCCAAAUAAGUUCUGCCACCUUGGUGGUCCUAUGGAUUGAACUCAAGUCAGUAGGCAGUGCAGCAGGCCUAUUUAUGGACUUUCUUGCUGGUCUCCAAAUGAAUUCUGAUAAGAAUAAAAAUAAGAUUAGGAAACAAUAGUGUGCUUGUAAUUUCUCACUGUGAAGUAUCCUGGGUCUGGAGUGUGGUGUAUUUUCGGUAGAAACAUUUCCCUCCCACUGUCUUCCCUACCUGACUCUAUUAAUACUCAAACUGUGUCUUAGACAUAGUUAUGUAACAUUAUGCAUUAUAGAAAUCUAAGAAUGGUCAAGAUUUGGGCCUUUUCAUCAGUCCCAGUACUUAGUAUUUCGGCAAGUCCUGCUGGGACUCUCAAAUGUUCUUGAAUUUAAGGUUUAUCGCAUUCUAUUUUGUCACCUCGUCAGGGCCAGCCACCCUCAACUUUUUCUUCAGUUCACUGAACCAAAAGAUUAACUGCUCUCCAAGCAUCCACUGCGACCCCAAACCUGCUGUACAUCUUCACCAAAGUGAUCUUUAUUUAUUGAAUCGCAGUACUUCUCUUUUCAAUCCUCCUGAUAACUUUCUAUCUGGCCUAAAAUAAAAUUGAAACUCUCCACAGCAAAGCCACUGAGCACACAGCAUCACUCAAUAUACUUUCUGUCAACUUUCUGCUUAAUCUCUUCUUAUUUCUCAGAGAGAAAAAAAAUGAAAUUGUUAUUUUGUUUGAUUCUUUUAUCUUCGCCCUUUGGUUGUUUUCUGUCCCCUCUAGGAUAUUACAAACUUGUAACUAAACUUAGCCCAUGAUAUCUAGAAAUGAAUAAAACUCCUACACACAUCAGAAGUAAGCACAGGGUCGCCUAUCUGAAAACAGGACCAAAGAGUCUUUCCAACUUAUUUGGAAAAACAAAGCUGAGAGCAGUGGUCAGUAUCAUUUUCUGC